CCUUGAACAAUAUACUAUGUAUUUUCCUCAGGGAAGAGUUGUACUUCUAACUCUGUUCGACUCAGUUAACGUUCAUUUUUAUCAGAUGAUGAUUGGUCCUGCCCUCCAUUACUUCCUGUACCUACAUUCUCAGUAUAUACCAUAGUUAUUUGACCAGUGUCAGCAUGGCAGUACAACACACUAAAAUUAGACCUGAUAUUUAUUACCAUAGAGAAUGUGUUUCAACAAUCAUGUAACUUUGACUUGGUGCAUCUGCAAUGUAUUUGAUUGUUGCUGGCCAGAGAUGUUAAAAUUACACAGAAACAUUCAUCAAAUCUGUGAAUGACAAUCCAGCAGAACAUUUGAAAUUGGCAGUGCGUGGACGUAAAUACCAAAUGCUCAGGGAGAACAUUUUACUAAAAGUACUGGGGGCAGACCAUUUCUGUAACGUAGCAUCAUAACAUUUCCAACAUGUCGUUGGUGUUUGGUUUGGGUUUAAAAAAACAAAAAUUUUAAGAAGUACUUCUCUGGUCAGUGUGUAAGAGUCAUCAUUUUCACAUUAUAUAUUCAUGUGAAAUCCAACAUCUCGUCACAUCUCAGAAAUGUCUAAAACAACAGUUCAAAAACGGUUCAGUGCACUCGCAAUCUGCUACCAACAGGGUCCAACAUCAUAGAAAAACAAGCAAUGAGCUAUAACGUCACCCCUUUUAGUGUAACCUUCACACAUAUUGUAUGAAUCUAUGUGCCAAAUACCUCUUGUACAAUUAGCUCCACUAGCAGACUCUGCCCAUGAGCCAGGAGUGCGUAGUGUGUUACUAAUACGGGUUUUGACAGGGUAGCCACUGCUGUGGAGUUCCCUCUGAACAAGCUUUGAUACGCAGAAGACUGUUGUAAUUCUGUUCUUUUCAGUCUACUUGAUCCAUAUCGUGGUGUCCUAGUUAAUGCGAAUUACAACGAUACCCGUUUGCACCGUAAAAACAACUGUACUGAUGUUUUUGGGUUUUUUUUUGUCAGUGUAGUUUGUUUUAGGUAUUAAAAGCAAUACAGGCUAUAAAGUAGAAACUUUGGACAGUUUAUUUUUUCAAUCAAAAGUACUGAACCAUCUCUGGAUUUGUGGUAGUGACAUGUCGAUGUACAGAUAAAUACUCUCACUUGUGAAAGAUCCACUUGCGCAUCAAAAGUUCCCAUAUGGUGUGUUGUAUUUUGUGUGUGAAACAGUGUCUUGAGAUCUUUCUACCCUCUUUGUUAAUUUCGUAAGAAGCAAUAUGUGUGUGUGUGUGUGUGUGUGUGUGUGUGUGUGUGUGUGUGUGUGUGUGAGAGAAAGAGAGAGAGAGAGAGAGAGAGAAACCCCAGACAAGGCUUUAAUAAAGUACAUAAGGAGCAGCAGGGUCAGCUGGUGAAGUAAAUGGUAUAUGGAUAUCUUAGUUUUCCCAGGUUUCACACACUUUUAGUAGCAAUUUUGAACUCAUCCAUCAGGCUGGACAAGCAUGACACAGUGCACGCCACUAUCUUAUUCAAAUCCUUCACACCUACAUUAUGCAAAUCUGCCACUGACAGGCCUAUGCAGUCACAAAUACCGCAGGACGAGUUUACACUGUACCAUCGUAAUAACUCCGUCAUUCAUUCUUAGUGAGGGCACUUAGACUGCCAGAAGCCAUUUUAAUAAUAUUCUUAAUAACAUGUUCUAAUACGUGGAAUUAAUGUGUGAUGUCAUGCUUGUGACGCCAUUUUGAUUUGAAGGUGAAAGUGUUAUUUAGAGGUAUCGAUUAUCAAUCAUUUUCAUUGCAUUUUUUUAAUGUGACCUUUUAUCCUGAAAGCACAGCUAAUAAAGUGAGAUAUGUUUUAGAAUAUAGAGCAAAAGACAAAAAAAGACAAACAAACAAAAAAAAUCUUUAGCCAUAAUCGAAUGUCAAGCAAUAAUAUAUGGUAUAUUAUUAUUAUUAUUAUUAUUAUUAUUAUUAUUAUUCAUCUUUGUGCAUAGGCUUUGGACACCUGCAUGUAAAUACACCUCUUAUUUAUCAUGUUUUGUUUCUUUCUUUCUUUUUUUUCUCAAUCUCUCUCUCUCCCUGAUUAUUUUGUUUUGUUUUGUUUUGUUUUGUUUGUAUAUUUGACUAGUUCUGUUCCCAGGUGGAGAACUAAGAACUUCAUAUGGCCUGUAAACUGUACAGCUUGAUUUCCCUCUCUUUCUCUCUCCCCCUCAGCUUUCCGCUUUUAAUUCACUAUAUUUAAUGUUAUUAUUGAUCACAUGUAUAAAAGUAACUUUGUAACAUCUGUCUGUAUAGGUAAAAAAAAAAAAAAAAACGAAAAAGAAAAUACUGCUAUUAAGACCUACUCAGUGCAAAUAUUUAUCUGUUUAUUGGAUACAUCAUGCUGUACAGUAUCUCUGUUUUUAGUAUACUUCUCUCUUUUAGAGUUAGUUUGAUAGCGAUAGGGCGUGCUGACAUAAAAUUUUGUGUUAAACUGACGUGUGGUGCUAGGUAACUUACUUUCGUGAACAAAAAAAAAAAAAAACCAAACAAACUCUUGACUCAUAGACAAGGCCACUCGAUUAGUUCAUUCAUUUCACUAAGUAUUGAUGCAUUCUUGAUAUUAGGACUCGAUAAGGAUAAGGAUAAAGAAUAAUGAUAGUGGUAAAUUUACUUGAAAUCCCCAGCAAGUACCUGUAUCAGUGUGCUAGUCUCGGGAUUGCACUCUUGUUUCCUUCUCACUUUAAGACUAUAAGUAAAAGCGGUAUCAUCUAAUUAAGAUGCUAUUAUUAAACGUCGCGUUUCUGAUUCGUCACGAUUUUAAAAGAAAAUGUUUAAGCUAAAGAAAAGCAGUAUUGUGUUGAUCCUUUUGAUUGUGAGAACCACUGGCUAGACUUGUAGCUGUUCAAUUUCGCAAAUGCAAUGCCUACUGGUACUUUUCUCAGAAAUCCUACGCUGGAAAAAGUCUUUUCGAUAAACGAUACACAGACACGAGAGAGCACAUACUGGAUGAUAGAAUUAUUGGCAGCCUCAUUUUGGUUCUCUUUGUUUUUUGACUUAGCCUAGACAACAGCUUCAUUCAGCAUAUUUAUUUUUCUGCACUAAUGUGUACGACAGCACUGUCAAUAAUUACCAACUUAGUGCACGCGCACACACACACACACACACACACACACACACACACACACACAUAUAUAUACACACUGUGGGUUAAGUGUUAAACAUGUAAGAGGUUGAAAUUGUCAGUUGUAGGUUCAUAUUUGCUCGAGUAUUUCAUUUUCAAUUUCUGUAGCAAGUAUGACGGCGAUCCUUGCAAUAAUACACAACAAACACCACUGAGUGCCUCUCAGUGGUCCAGGAUGCAGAAAUGACGUAGUUUUCACUGUUCACUGUAGUCAAAUGGUCAUGUAUUUGCACAUGUAGGUGAAUUCUAUCCAAAUUCUUAAUGUCUUGUUUUUUUUUUUCUGUAACUGUCCUGUACUUUUGUUUUAUGACCAUGUGAACGUUUUCCACCGCUUGUAGUUUUCUGUGUGUUUCAUUUCGCAAACUUGCAGUGCACGGUCAAUGUUGCUUUUCUCCUUUACUUUUCUGCUGACAUUAAUAUAACCUUGUGGAAUAAUGGUAAAACAUGCAUUCUGAAUGUUUUAUUUUUAAGACCCUGGUUUGCGCAUUUGUAAAGGACAAUAGACAAUCCACUCUGCGUUCCCCCUAUUUACAAAACUUCCCAUUUCUGUUCGUUCUCGCAGACAAAUGACUAAUGCAUUGUAUUUUAAGUAUUCACAUGUGUAUGGAAGAUAUGCAUAAUGCACAUUUGGAUUUCUUUCCUGUCGUGUGUUAAAUGUGAGCUCGCAGGGGGAAUGGGUUUUACUCCACACACAGGCAGCAUAUACACGGGGAGGGAAAAAUGCCAAGACAAGUUUGUGGUUGUCACAAAUUUUUACAUCACACGUUUGCUACUGAUCUAACCGUGGGGAGAGAUGAUCAUGUACCUUUUUAUCCAGCUCUUUUGAACUCUAUUUAGGAGGUAGUAUCUUCACAAUAAUAGUUUUGCUCCUUCUCUUCGUCUGAUUCUUAAAUAUGAAAAUUAAGUAUUUUGAUUCAUUUUGUAAAUACAGCUGUAAAGAAAAAUAAGAAAUUUAAUGUUGUCUUUUAAAUACUUUUCAUUCUAAUAUGAAUGUUGUUAUAUUGUACUUAGAAACUGUACCUUUAAUAUUACCUUUAUUAAAGUGCAUUGGACACAUCGAUUUUAGAUGUGCUUUAUGUGCUGUUAUCCCAUAAUAAAAUUUACCGCUUGUAAUUGGCUCUUAUUUACUGUCUGACUUUUUUCAAGGGAUACAUUUUCUCUCCAUGUCCAUGUGGGUUAAGUGUAAAUGAAAGUGUGUGUACAUGGUUCUCUGUGAUGGACUGAGUGUAUUCCCAUCUAACACACAGUAUUCUUAGCAGAGGUGGAAAAAGU
ensembl:lncRNA